rnacentral:lncRNA from 1 species
AUCUUGCUGAGUUGCUGAGGGUCUCUGCUAAAUUGUUGAGACUGGCCUCUGACUUGCAAGUAUUCUGAUUGUAGGCCUGAGGUAUCUACCCUGGCUAUGUCAAUUUUAAUACUUCAUUGUUCACUGGUUAAUGGUAGAGUCAAAGGGAAAAUAUUUAAAUGGCCGAUAAAAUCAACUAUAUAUGAAAUAAAUUUAGGAUUAGAGACCUUUGGGGUUUUUAAAAAAUAUUUUAUUUAUUAUAAAAUUUUAAAAAAUAUUUAUUUUUUAGUUGUAGGUGGACACAAUAUCCUUAUUUCAUUUUUAUGUGGUGCUGAGGUUUGAACCCAAUGCCUCACGUGUGCUAGAAGAGCACUCUACCACUGAGCCACAGCCCUGAGUCCUUUACAGUUUUGUACAAAAAACAUAAUUCCAGUGCAGCUUAUAAUGAACAGAGGAGUGAUUUCCAUGUUAACUGGUGCUUGCAAAGGGAUAACAUAGUAUCAGUUAUACACCUAUUUAUAGGUUAUGUUAAUGAUGCAGUUGCUGAGCUUCUAAGAACUAAAGUGAUAAUGGAUUAAGGAUAUUUAUCAUUGGUGUAUUUAGGUUUGAAAGGAAUACCAAGAAAGAACAAUAAAGAAAAAUCUAAUCAUGGUCUAAAAUGACCAAUGCCAGAGUUUAUAUUUAUAUUUUGAAAAUAUUUUAUAUUUUCAAAAUAUUUUACCAGUUGGAAAUUAGGAAAGCUGGAGAUGAUGGGUGAGGUGUUGAGGGAGUGACCUUUGGUAAGGGAGCACUACAUUUUACCUGAUUUAAGUGAUUUGGACAUUCCUGGAAUUCUUUUGGGCCAGAGUCUCAAAUUCUCCUUUGACCUUGAUUUAGUGAGAAAUAGAUUUUACACUGGUCCUGUAUACAUAUUGAAACAUGUUUCACCAGACAAAAGUGCAAAGAACACUAGCACUUUCUCAUCUACAAUGUAUUUCAUUUUUUAAAAAACCAGGUCAGUUUCCACUGAACUGAUUUCACAACUGUUAUAAACCCACAGUUUUUUUGGGAGGGGUGUGGGGAGAGCCCUGCUCAGAGGAAUGGGCAACCAGAUCAUAGCACCUUAGAUUAUUCUGAGUGAAUUCAUUUCAUCUCUAGUUUCAGCUACCUGAAUUUAUAAGCAGAUUCAUUGGUGGUCUCUUAUAUGGUGUUUUUACAUGUAUUUUAGCUUUGUGAAUUGAGCAUUUCUAGUUGUUG